rnacentral:rRNA from 2 species
AAAUUGAAGAGUUUGAUCAUGGCUCAGAUUGAACGCUGGCGGCAGGCCUAACACAUGCAAGUCGAGCGGUAGCACAGAGAGCUUGCUCUCGGGUGACGAGCGGCGGACGGGUGAGUAAUGUCUGGGAAACUGCCUGAUGGAGGGGGAUAACUACUGGAAACGGUAGCUAAUACCGCAUAACGUCGCAAGACCAAAGAGGGGGACCUUCGGGCCUCUUGCCAUCAGAUGUGCCCAGAUGGGAUUAGCUAGUAGGUGGGGUAACGGCUCACCUAGGCGACGAUCCCUAGCUGGUCUGAGAGGAUGACCAGCCACACUGGAACUGAGACACGGUCCAGACUCCUACGGGAGGCAGCAGUGGGGAAUAUUGCACAAUGGGCGCAAGCCUGAUGCAGCCAUGCCGCGUGUAUGAAGAAGGCCUUCGGGUUGUAAAGUACUUUCAGCGGGGAGGAAGGUGUUGAGGUUAAUAACCUCAGCAAUUGACGUUACCCGCAGAAGAAGCACCGGCUAACUCCGUGCCAGCAGCCGCGGUAAUACGGAGGGUGCAAGCGUUAAUCGGAAUUACUGGGCGUAAAGCGCACGCAGGCGGUCUGUCAAGUCGGAUGUGAAAUCCCCGGGCUCAACCUGGGAACUGCAUUCGAAACUGGCAGGCUAGAGUCUUGUAGAGGGGGGUAGAAUUCCAGGUGUAGCGGUGAAAUGCGUAGAGAUCUGGAGGAAUACCGGUGGCGAAGGCGGCCCCCUGGACAAAGACUGACGCUCAGGUGCGAAAGCGUGGGGAGCAAACAGGAUUAGAUACCCUGGUAGUCCACGCCGUAAACGAUGUCGACUUGGAGGUUGUGCCCUUGAGGCGUGGCUUCCGGAGCUAACGCGUUAAGUCGACCGCCUGGGGAGUACGGCCGCAAGGUUAAAACUCAAAUGAAUUGACGGGGGCCCGCACAAGCGGUGGAGCAUGUGGUUUAAUUCGAUGCAACGCGAAGAACCUUACCUACUCUUGACAUCCAGAGAACUUUCCAGAGAUGGAUUGGUGCCUUCGGGAACUCUGAGACAGGUGCUGCAUGGCUGUCGUCAGCUCGUGUUGUGAAAUGUUGGGUUAAGUCCCGCAACGAGCGCAACCCUUAUCCUUUGUUGCCAGCGGUCCGGCCGGGAACUCAAAGGAGACUGCCAGUGAUAAACUGGAGGAAGGUGGGGAUGACGUCAAGUCAUCAUGGCCCUUACGAGUAGGGCUACACACGUGCUACAAUGGCGCAUACAAAGAGAAGCGACCUCGCGAGAGCAAGCGGACCUCAUAAAGUGCGUCGUAGUCCGGAUUGGAGUCUGCAACUCGACUCCAUGAAGUCGGAAUCGCUAGUAAUCGUAGAUCAGAAUGCUACGGUGAAUACGUUCCCGGGCCUUGUACACACCGCCCGUCACACCAUGGGAGUGGGUUGCAAAAGAAGUAGGUAGCUUAACCUUCGGGAGGGCGCUUACCACUUUGUGAUUCAUGACUGGGGUGAAGUCGUAACAAGGUAACCGUAGGGGAACCUGCGGUUGGAUCACCUCCUUA